UACGAAGGGGGCUAGCGUUGCUCGGAAUCACUGGGCGUAAAGCGCACGUAGGCGGCUUGCUAAGUCAGGGGUGAAAUCCUGGAGCUCAACUCCAGAACUGCCUUUGAUACUGGCGACCUUGAGUCCGGGAGAGGUGAGUGGAACUGCGAGUGUAGAGGUGAAAUUCGUAGAUAUUCGCAAGAACACCAGUGGCGAAGGCGACUACCUGGCCUGUUCUUGACGCUGAGGCGCGAAAGCUAGGGGAGCAAACGGG
rnacentral:rRNA from 1 species